GGCUCCAUAGCUCAGUGGUUAGAGCACUGGUCUUGUGAACCAGGGGUUGUGAGUUUGAUCCUCGCUAGGGCCU